AAUGAACGCUGGCGGCGUGCUUAACACAUGCAAGUCGAACGAGAAAGGGAUUGCUUGCAAUCCCGAGUAGAGUGGCGCACGGGUGAGUAACACGUAGAUAAUCUACCCUCGAGCCUGGGAUAACUAUUCGAAAGGAUAGCUAAUACCGGAUGAAGUAGGCUUACUUAAGUGCGUUUAUGAAAGAUUGCCUCUGCAUAUGCAAUUGUUUGGGGAUGAGUUUGCGGAGCAUUGGCUGGUUGGUAGGGUAAAGGCCUACCAAGGCGAUGAUGGUUAGCUGGUCUGAGAGGAUGAUCAGCCACACUGGAACUGGAACACGGUCCAGACUCCUACGGGAGGCAGCAGUGAGGAAUUUUGCGCAAUGGGGGCAACCCUGACGCAGCAACGCCGCGUGAGUGAAGAAGGCCUUUGGGUCGUAAAGCUCUGUCAACCGGGAAGAAGUUAUAUGAGUCGAAUAGGCUUAUGUAUUGACGGUACCGGUGAAGGAAGCAUCGGCUAACUCCGUGCCAGCCGCCGCCGUAA
rnacentral:rRNA from 1 species